rnacentral:rRNA from 1 species
UACGUAGGGUGCAAGCGUUGUCCGGAAUUAUUGGGCGUAAAGAACUCGUAGGCGGUUUGUCGCGUCUGCUGUGAAAACUCGGGGCUUAACUCCGGGCCUGCAGUGGGUACGGGCAGACUAGAGUGCGGUAGGGGAGACUGGAAUUCCUGGUGUAGCGGUGAAAUGCGCAGAUAUCAGGAGGAACACCGGUGGCGAAGGCGGGUCUCUGGGCCGUAACUGACGCUGAGGAGCGAAAGCGUGGGGAGCGAACAGG